AAGAUUAGGCUGAAUGUCCCAAGUAAAUCAUCUUCAGUGAGAUUUGUCAAGCGAGUAGAGGAAAAUACAUUGACAGGAGAAGUGGCAAGGUCCCCAUAUACAACUCCAAGAGAUUGGUAAGCCAACAACAAGGUCUGCAUGGGUGGAUAUUCCUGAGAAAAAUACUCAAAAUCUCAAUAUCCUAUGAAGUGACUUAGAAGUUUCAAGGCAGUAACAAAAAAAAGUGUGAAGUUAUCAGAUUUUAUCGAAACUGGUAGUAGCACUAGCACACAUCGAGGGUAAAAUGAGAACAGGUUGCUUGUGAUGAUUUCAUCAUGUCCUAUGUCAACCUCCAGAUGCACCGGUCUGCAGGAACCAUGAUGACUUAAGGUGUUCAAAAGGAAGAGGUAGUUAUAACUUAAUCACAUGAAGGAAGUUAUCCCGAAAGACCUACACUCUCUUGAAAUCUAUGCAAACCUAGCAAAAGAUCGGGCACAAUGAAAGAAAAGGAUCUAUGUGGAUGAUACCAGUUAGUUGGUUUAAGCUUUAAUUAUGCUAAUAUGUUUACUUUCGAUCCCAAUGUUUGUUGGGAGUUUUUAGGUCUUGUUUGAGAUUUCAUGCGUGGGAAAUGCAGACAGCUUCUAGUGCUACAAAAACUAAUUCUUUAUUAUAUUUGAACUUAGACAAAGCUUAAUUGAGUGACAUGGACAAUGAGAAUUCAUAUAGCCGAGGAUUCACAUAGACGGUCUUAAAUAGAGGGACAGUGGAUAUUUCUUGGAAUAUUGAAGAUGAGAAAAAGUAAAGCUUACCUUAGCUUUGGUUAAGGGAGACUGGUAUGUCUGCAUAACUGUCAUGUAUGUUUCCAUAGCAGGUACUGGUUCUGGAACAACUCUCCUGCUGUUGUUACAAAGGUCAAUACGGUUACUAUCUUCAAGAUUGCUUCUACUUUCAAUAUCAUAGUUCUUUAUGCUGGAAUUGUUGCUUUUAACAUCUUCCAUGUUUUAAAUGCAGGACACUUCCAAUAUUCUAGUUAAGAAGUUGCCGUACAUUGUGUCAUGCUUAUAUAGCUUCAAAAAAGCCUCAAGGACUAUCGAUUUGCAAACAGGGAUAUCGAUUUGGUUGAUCCUAAGAAUAAAACAAAAGAUAUAAGUUAGUGCUGCAAAUUCUAAAAGCCACAAGUUGCUGGAGAGGGAGCAGGUAAAGGAACACAUCAUCAUAUAUAUAUUUUAGCAGUAAUUCCACCAAUUUGCAUACAAAUUUAUUUCAUCAUCCUGUUGGAGCACUUAUCGAUUCGCAAACAGGGAUAUGAAGAUAAAUUAUUGGUACAUUUUCUUGUUGACAUAUUAUAUUUUAUACCAAGGAGUGACUACACACUCUCACAAGUGACAUAUAACCAGAAAUUUUUAAAAAUCUGCCACUGUUGCUUUGUUGGAUGAACCUUAUCUAGUCUAGUCUAGUCUAGUUAAAUAAAUCAAGCUUAAAUUUUUGCAGUAAGUUGAUGACAAGUGAAAACUAGUAAAUCCUCUGAUUAAAAAGGUAAGCUUGAUUAAUGAACAAAAGCUCAUAUGCAAUUUUGCUGGCUUAUGAUUCUUUUGAUUAUGAAUUUUUUGUUUUAUUAUAGGUAUAUAUAUCAGUGUUGACACAUCUUGACCUAAGCUGGUCCAAUGUAAUGGUUAAGGUGUUGCACAACUUUCUUAAACUCGUGUGUUCAGUCCUAGCUAGCGACAUCAUUAUAUUUGCCUUUUUUUUACAUCUUUAAUAAAAA
rnacentral:lncRNA from 1 species